UACGAAGGGUGCAAGCGCUACUCGGAAUUACUGGGCGUAAAGCGUGCGUAGGUGGUUUGUUAAGUCUGAUGUGAAAGCCCUGGGCUCAACCUGGGAACGGCAUUGGAAACUGGCUUACUAGAGUGCGGUAGAGGGGUGUGGAAUUCCCGGUGUAGCAGUGAAAUGCGUAGAUAUCGGGAGGAACAUCUGUGGCGAAGGCGACACCCUGGACCAGCACUGACACUGAGGCACGAAAGCGUGGGGAGCAAACAGG
rnacentral:rRNA from 1 species